rnacentral:rRNA from 1 species
GGGCUGCMGUAUUUUGACUGUACAAAGGUAGCAUAAUCAAUAGUCUCUUAAUUGGUGACUUGUAUGAAAGAUUGGAUGAGAUAUAAACUGUCUCUAAUUGAUUUAUAAAAAUUAAUUUUUUAGUAAAAAAGCUAAAAUAAUUUUAAAAGACGAGAAGACCCUAUAGAGUUUAAUAUUUUAUUUAGUAAUUAUUAAUAUAUGUAAUUUUAAAAAUUAAAAUUAAAUGAAAUAUUUUGUUGGGGUGAUAAAAAAAUUAAAUUAACUUUUUUUGAUUGUAAACAUUAAUUUAUGGUUAAAUGAUCCAUUUAUAGUGAUUAAAAGAAAAAAUUACCUUAGGGAUAACAGCGUAAUUUUUUUUUUUAGUUCAAAUAGGAAAAAAAGUUUGCGACCUCGAUGUUGGAUUAA